ACGAACGCUGGCGGCAUGCCUAACACAUGCAAGUCGCACGAGACCUUCGGGUCUAGUGGCGCACGGGUGCGUAACGCGUGGGAACCUGCCCUUAGGUUCGGAAUAACUCCCCGAAAGGGGUGCUAAUACCGGAUAAUGUCUUCGGACCAUAGAUUUAUCGCCUUUGGAUGGGCCCGCGUUGGAUUAGCUAGUUGGUAGGGUAAAAGCCUACCAAGGCGACGAUCCAUAGCUGGUCUGAGAGGAUGAUCAGCCACACUGGGACUGAGACACGGCCCAGACUCCUACGGGAGGCAGCAGUGGGGAAUAUUGGACAAUGGGCGAAAGCCUGAUCCAGCAAUGCCGCGUGAGUGAUGAAGGCCUUAGGGUUGUAAAGCUCUUUUACCCGGGAUGAUAAUGACAGUACCGGGAGAAUAAGCUCCGGCUAACUCCGUG
rnacentral:rRNA from 1 species